rnacentral:rRNA from 1 species
UACAGAGGGUGCGAGCGUUGUCCGGAAUUAUUGGGCGUAAAGGGCGCGUAGGCGGUGCGGUAAGUCACCUGUGAAAUCUCCUGGCUCAACUGGGAGCUUGCAGGCGAAACUGCCGUGCUGGAGUGUGGGAGAGGUGCGUGGAAUUCCCGGUGUAGCGGUGAAAUGCGUAGAGAUCAGCAGGAACACCCGUGGCGAAGGCGGCUUCCUGGGCCGCGCCUGACGCUGAGACGCGAAAGCGUGGGGAGCGAACGGG